UACAGAGGUCUCGAGCGUUAGGCGGAAUCACUGGGCUUAAAGCGUGUGUAGGCGGAUCGUUAAGUACCUUGUGAAAUCCCACGGCUUACCGUGGAAUUGCUGGGUAUACUGGCGGUCUUGAGCCACUUAGGGGCUACCGGAACAAAUGGUGGAGCGGUGAAAUGCGUAGAUAUCAUUUGGAACGCCAAUGGUGAAAACAGGUAGCUGGGAGUGUGCUGACGCU
rnacentral:rRNA from 1 species